GGAAAUAAAAUACAUAUUUUGUACGACAUAUAAAAAAGAUGAUGUGAUAUUUUCAUACACAAUUUAAGACAGCAGAAGGACCUUUAUGCCCUACUAAGCAUUCUCUAAAGAAAAAGACUCAUGUUUACACAGUCAAACCUAAUAAACAAAUAGCAUGACCAUUUAAAAGUAUUAAAAAGAAUUCCUCCUUUCUCAAAACAAUGGACUGUGCAUGAGCAAGUACUCCUCAUUUCUCAUGAUUUAAAGCAGGUGUUCCCAUUAACUAAACUCAUCUACCCCUUUACACUGUGCAAAAGUAAUAAAAUAAUUUAGAAUUAGAAAUGUUAUUUUUUUUUUAAAUCUUGCUUUUUAAGAGUCUGGGAGUACAGUUUUCUGGAACCUGCAACAGGCCUAACUGCAAAUCUAAGGAUGAGAGUCUUCCUCUCCGCUGAAGCUUCCAAUGCAUAAAAAUAAAUCAAUAUUCAGUGCAGCAGAAACUCUUCUACAUUCCAGCAGAGAAUUCUAACUACUAACAAUUGAUUAAUUCUCUCAUUCUCUCUCUCCUAAAGAGACUGCAGAGUAUGCAUGUGCUGCUGUUGCUGCUGCAGCAGAAGUCCCCCAAAAUGGUGCAUCAUGGCAGGAAGUAUGUAGAAGGAGGGAAGGCCAAUGCAGUGCAACACUCAAGAUGAGGAACAAGAGGAAGCAGCAACUCAAACCCAACGGACUCUCUGCAAGUAGACUCCAAUAAACCCUGGGAACUGGCAGGUACAACUGAUCCUGUCUUGGAGCUCCAGAAUGCACAAGAUAACGUCUUGAGGUCUUUUUCAGCUUCCUUUUCUGUGUGGUUGAUGCAGCUAUAUAAUUUAGAAACCUUACCUUACCUCUCUAGACUAGAUAAAUUUAUCAAGUUUUCAUGCUAAAUUAUAGCAAGACAGAUUGGUGUUUUGACAUAGGGACUCAGAGAACCAGCAACACUUCUUCCAAAAUUAGCAUGAUGCCACCUCUAUUUUUUUUUUUGUACAGUACAUCCUUUUAGCUCUCAAGAAAUGCGGAGGGUUGUGGCAAAAAGACUGCUGUCUUCCAG